rnacentral:rRNA from 1 species
CAGCAGCCGCGGGAAUACGUAUGUCGCAAGCGUUAAUCGGAAUUACUGGGCGUAAAGCGUGCGCAGGCGGCUAUGCAAGACAGAUGUGAAAUCCCCGGGCUCAACCUGGGAACUGCAUUUGUGACUGCAUGGCUAGAGUACGGUAGAGGGGGAUGGAAUUCCGCGUGUAGCAGUGAAAUGCGUAGAUAUGCGGAGGUACACCGAUGGCGAAGGCAAUCCCCUGGACCUGUACUGACGCUCAUGCACGAAAGCGUGGGGAGCAAACAGGAUUAGAUACCCCGGUAGUCCCUGUCUCUUAUAA